CGGGUGAGUAACGCGUAUCCAACCUUCCCAUAACUACGGGAUAACCCGUUGAAAGACGGCCUAAUACCGUAUGAUAUCGUUUGCUGACAUCAAAUAACGAUUAAAGGUUUAGCGGUUAUGGAUGGGGAUGCGUCUGAUUAGCUUGUUGGCGGGGUAACGGCCCACCAAGGCGACGAUCAGUAGGGGUUCUGAGAGGAAGGUCCCCCACAUUGGAACUGAGACACGGUCCAA
rnacentral:rRNA from 1 species